AGCUUCUGUUUUGCUGGUGUAUUC
rnacentral:siRNA from 1 species